GAUCGAUGAAGGGAAACAGAAAAAAAAGAAUGCUUUCUAAUCGAUGUAUCAAUACCAACAGAUGACAAUGUUUCUCAAACAGAAACGGAGAAAUUUUCAAAAUACAAAGAUCUGGUAAUAGAGGUAACUCGAUCAUGGAAUCUAAAGACAAAAGCAAUUAGUAUCAUAAGUAGGCGCAUUAGGUACGAU